rnacentral:lncRNA from 1 species
UUGAGUAAAAAGUAGUGUUGUUUGCUAUAAGACUUCAUUUAAUAAAUAUGCAACUUGGCUUGGGCAUGUAUCAUUUUUUUGAGGUUUGAGAUCCACAAUUGGAAACUACAAAUAACCACUGAUACUUGUUAAACAAUUACAGAAAUCCACUUGUCUGUAAAUCUUUUAUCCCACUAUAUCGAUAUAAUUUUUGAAAAGAUUUUCUAGGCCCUGUAUGCUCUUCUGGUUGUCAAGAAUGAUCAAAGAAAAUUCAGACAGUGAAGAAUGCAUUAGGAGGAUCAGGUUAAGUGUUCUCAGUAUCUGAUAUUGCGCAUUUGGAUGAGGAGCCAAUGGAGCAGUCUGAGGCAGAUUAGAGUAGGACUGAAACUGAAGUAAUAUUGCAUUUGUGGUAUCUCUUCUUGAGAGAAAAUAAAGAAGUAAUAAUCUCAAUUUUUUGUUUUGCUUUCCGUAUUUUGAUUUUCCUUUGUACAUGCGAACGAUGAAGAGAUACCACAAUAC